CAUGUCAAGCCCGGCCAUGGCUUUGGUGGACGAUAGGCUGAGCACCGAGGGAACAGGGCUUCCAUUCGGAUUGAGCAACAACCUUCUUGGUUGGAUCCUCUUUGGUGUGUUUGGUCUCAUUUGGACCUUCUACUUUAUCUAUACUUCCUCCCUCGAAGAGGACGAAGAGUCAGGAUUGUCCCUCUAAGCCAAACACCAGUGUUCCUCAAAUGAUGGAGGAAUGUAAAAAUUUCUAGUUCAUGUUUUGUAGUAAAAGCUUCCCAUUUCUGAAUCAAACUUGUGUACUUGUGUUAUCCACUAUAUUCUCAGUCUCA
rnacentral:lncRNA from 1 species